CGGGACGGGUGAGUAACGCGUGGGUAACCUGCCUCAUACAGGGGGAUAACAGUUAGAAAUGACUGCUAAUACCGCAUAAGACCACAGCACCGCAUGGUGCGGGGGUAAAAACUCCGGUGGUAUGAGAUGGACCCGCGUCUGAUUAGCUAGUUGGUAAGGUAACGGCUUGCCAAGGCGACGAUCAGUAGCCGACCUGAGAGGGUGACCGGCCACAUUGGGACUGAGACACGGCCCAA
rnacentral:rRNA from 1 species